rnacentral:lncRNA from 1 species
GUCAAACAUAAAGCACCAGUAAGAAGAAAAACUUAAACUGGUUAAUGAAAAGAAAAAAAAAAAAAAAAAAAAAAAAACAAAACCAAUGAAAAUAAAAAUCAGAUCAUAAUUAUAAUAAAGAAUUAAUAUUUAAGAACGGUCAAACAGUGCGGAGAUUGGACUUGCGGACUAACCAUAUAGUAAUCCUGAGAGGGGGAUCUGCCUGUCACAGAUACAUUCUGCACCAGAGUUCUUUUGCUCGUCUGAAACUAAUGCAGGAUAUAUCGCAAGAUCAAAAGGGCUAAAACAUGAGGUACGCAUCAUCGAGGUAACACGGCAAAGAACUCAAAUGAAAAUGCAAACCAAGUGGAUAAUCGACUGACAGUGGCACAACGGUGAUCAGAAGUGGCUGAGAAAGGAAAGCAAACGAACAGAGAGACAUAUAGGCUGUUUCACAGUUGCUAGACAUAUAAUAGAUAUCCAAGUUUCAAUAUGAAUAUAAGUUUUUUGUGAUUUAAAAAUAAAUUUACUGUGAACAUUCAUUUUUU